rnacentral:rRNA from 1 species
GAUGAACGCUGGCGGCGUGCUUAACACAUGCAAGUCGAACGAAGCACUUUAUUUGAUUUCCUUCGGGACUGAUUAUUUUGUGACUGAGUGGCGGACGGGUGAGUAACGCGUGGGUAACCUGCCUUGUACAGGGGGAUAACAGUUGGAAACGGCUGCUAAUACCGCAUAAGCGCACGGCAUCGCACGAUGCAGUGUGAAAAACUCCGGUGGUAUAAGAUGGACCCGCGUUGGAUUAGCUAGUUGGUGAGGUAACGGCCCACCAAGGCGACGAUCCAUAGCCGACCUGAGAGGGUGACCGGCCACAUUGGGACUGAGACACGGCCCAAACUCCUGCGGGAGGCAGCAGUGGGGAAUAUUGCACAAUGGGCGAAAGCCUGAUGCAGCGACGCCGCGUGAGCGAAGAAGUAUUUCGGUAUGUAAAGCUCUAUCAGCAGGGAAGAUAAUGACGGUACCUGACUAAGAAGCACCGGCUAAAUACGUG